rnacentral:lncRNA from 1 species
AAAUAUAUUUAUGGGAUUACACCUCUAAAUAGGGGUAAGAUUAAUUAGUAUUAAUGUGGUUUUUCAUGGUCUAUACAUGUGAAAUAUGGAGAAAAGCACAGGGAUUUUCUCUUUUUCCACAGGAGAGGCUGCACUUCUUCAAAAUCUCCUUCAAGAAUCUGCCAAGAACAGAAAGAAGUAGAAAAAGGCAAGAAGAGAACCCAGGCUGAGCCCAAACAUCCCCAGGGGCCUCCAAAACAGGAUGCCAAGGUGGCUGAGCCCCAGAGAUCAGAAGGCAAAGUUUCCACGCUGGAGGAGCCUCCAAACCAAAGUCAGCAAAACAAACAAAAGCCCAAAACCAAAACUUGUGACUAUGAAAAGAUGAGGUAAGAAAUAAAAUUGAUUUUAAAAUCUAUUAUUAUUUUGAGUUAUUUUAUGUGAGAUCAACACAACUUGGAUUUGCUGCUUGCCCAUUGCCAAAGGCUUUGUGUAAUUUUUUACAUCCUGAUAGUGGAUAAAGCCCCCAGGAUUCCAGUUUUUCCACAGUUAUUACUUGAAAACUGAGUAUCUUCCUUGCCCAGCUGAAUUUUAGUCAAUGAAGGCAUAAUUUGAAUAUUUGCUGUUAAAGCAGAGUUUUGUUUCAGUUGUUACAUCCAAAGUUACAGCAAUAAUUGUAACUCACUUUACCUCCUUUCCAAGGCCAACUUGCACCAAAUGAUUUUUCAAACUCCUCUGACACUCCCUGAGCUCAUGAAAAAGAUGAAUUCUGAUUUUUCUGAGUUUUAUAUGAGAAAAGAACUUUCCUUGGAGUCCUUCAGUUGUUUGUUGGCUCCAAUUUUCACUUAAAGCACCAUCAAAAAUCUGAAUUUAAGGCCAGGGAUGCUCC